GACGAACGCUGGCGGCGUGCUUAACACAUGCAAGUCGAACGGAAAGGCCCUGCUUUUGCGGGGUGCUCGAGUGGCGAACGGGUGAGUAACACGUGAGUAACCUGCCCUUGACUUUGGGAUAACUUCAGGAAACUGGGGCUAAUACCGGAUAGGAGCUCCUGCUGCAUGGUGGGGGUUGGAAAGUUUCGGCGGUUGGGGAUGGACUCGCGGCUUAUCAGCUUGUUGGUGGGGUAGUGGCUUACCAAGGCUUUGACGGGUAGCCGGCCUGAGAGGGUGACCGGCCACAUUGGGACUGAGAUACGGCCCAGACUCCUACGGGAGGCAGCAGUGGGGAAUAUUGCACAAUGGGCGGAAGCCUGAUGCAGCAACGCCGCGUGCGGGAUGUCGGCCUUCGGGUUGUAAACCGCUUUCGCCUGUGACGAAGCGUGAGUGACGGUAAUGGGUAAAGAAGCACCGGCUAACUACGUG
rnacentral:rRNA from 1 species